rnacentral:rRNA from 1 species
CCUACGGGUGGCAGCAGUGAGGAAUAUUGGUCAAUGGGCGCUAGCCUGAACCAGCCAAGUAGCGUGAAGGAUGACUGCCCUAUGGGUCGUAAACUUCUUUUAUAUGGGGAUAAAAUGCAGUAUGUAUACUGCUCUGCAUGUACCUUAUGAAUAAGGACCGGCUAAAUCCGUGCCAGCAGCCGCGGUAAUACGGAGGAGCCGAGCGUUAUCCGGAUUUAUUGGGUUUAAAGGGAGCGUAGGCGGGGUGUUAAGUCAGUUGUGAAAGUUUGCGGCUCAACCGUAAAAUUGCAGUUGAUACUGGCAGCCUUGAGUACAGAAGAGGUAGGCGGAAUUCGUGGUGUAGCGGUGAAAUGCUUAGAUAUCACGAAGAACUCCGAUUGCGAAGGCAGCCUGCUGGACUGUAACUGACGCUGAUGCUCGAAAGUGUGGGUAUCAAACAGGAUUAGAUACCCGAGUAGUC